UACGUAGGGUGCGAGCGUUAAUCGGAAUUACUGGGCGUAAAGCGUGCGCAGGCGGUUCUGUAAGCCAGAUGUGAAAUCCCCGGGCUCAACCUGGGAAUGGCAUUUGGGACUGCAAGGCUGGAGUACGGCAGAGGAGACUGGAAUUCCUGGUGUAGCAGUGAAAUGCGUAGAGAUCAGGAGGAAUACCGAUGGCGAAGGCAGGUCUCUGGGCUGAUACUGACGCUCAUGCACGAAAGCGUGGGGAGCAAACAGG
rnacentral:rRNA from 1 species